UAAUAAUAUCAUAAUAAUGUUACUUCUCUCGUAUCAGUGAGAAACGUUCUAUUACUUCUAUGCUUCCAUGCAUGCGUCAAGCAGCGGAGAAGAAGAGUGCGGCAUACAAGCGACACCCGCUGGUCAAAGCCGUGCAAAUGUACUAAAUGUUACUAAAUGUAACUUAUAAACUGGUAACUAUUGGUUUUUGAGUUUCAAUGAGGGAGUCACACAGAGUGGAAUUGAGACUUUAACAUCUUUUGGCAAUAAAAUACAUUUUAGACGCACAGCUAUUUUGUGCACAUUGCUCUCAAACACAGAAUAAAGAACACAUUUCUAUCUUCAGUUGAACGAACACCAGAACAUACUUGAUUGUAGAGCUGUUUUAUAUGUCUAUGAAAUGGCAGAAGCCAGUAUUUUAUGGGCGCAGGAUCAGUUCAGCUGUCCGAUCUGUCUGGAUCUACUGAAGGAUCCUGUGACCAUCCCCUGUGGACACAGUUACUGUAUGAACUGCAUCACAGACUGCUGGAAUCAAGAUGAUCAGAAGGGAGUUUACAGCUGCCCUCAGUGCAGACAGGCCUUUACUCAAAGACCUGCUUUAAACAAGAAUUUCACGAGUUUGUUUGCCCAUUCAGCCCUGCCAGAUAAUGGUAAACGAGCUUAGCUUGCUGUCCGAGAAGGAGGCUCGAACCCGAGGCUCGGCUCGAGCUCUGAGUAACAACCCCCCCAUGAUGGUACAGUGUGGAGGAAAAAGAUUAGGAAUUAGAGGAGGAGAAGUGGAGGUGGAGGGAUGCCGGAAGAACUGUUGCUCGAACGGAACAAUGACUGCUGCUUAUAUGUAUGUUAUAUGUAUUAUAGCUAUGAUUGACCGGACUGGAUGUUUAGGCUCCUCCCGAACCUGGAGUGUGGAGUGUGCCGUCUGCACUGGGAGAAAAUAUAAAGCCAUCAAGUGUCUGGAGUCUUACUGUCAAACUCACUUUGAGUGUCACAAGGCUUUUUGCACAGGUAAAUGACACGAGAUAACUGAUGCCUCUGGACGAAUCCAGAAGAUGAUCUGCCCUCUACAUGAUAAACUGCUGGAGGUUUACUGUCGUGCUGACAAGAAGUGUACUGUGUAUGAUGGAUGAACAUAAAAAUCGCAUCACUGUAUCAUCUACAUCAGAAAGGACAGAGAAACAGAAACUGUUGGAAGACAGACAGAGAAAGUUCCAGGAGAGAGAGAAAGUGCUUCGGGAGCUGAAAGAGGUUUUGGAGACUCAUAAGCGCUCUGCCAGUACAGACAGUGAGAGGAUCUUUAUUGAACUGAUCUGCUCCAUUAAGAGAAGCUGCUCUGAGGUGACACAGAUGAUCAGAGAUUGAGAAAAGGCUCAAGUGAGGCGAGCUGAAAGACUCUUGAAGCAACUGCAGCAGGAGAUUGAUGAUCUGAGGAGGAGAGACGCUGACCUGGAGCAGCUUUCACACACUGAUGAUCACAUCCAUUUCCUACAGAGCUUUCAGUCUCCCUGAACCUCCAGAAUCUACAGAACUAAUCAGUGUUACUAUUCCCAUCAGAUCUCUCUCACAGAGCAGGAAUUCUAUCCUUCUACAGCGUCUCUGACACCAAUGACACUCAUCCAGAGAGUCCAGACCACAUUCACUCAGCCACUCUAUUCUGGGAUUUGGAUUUCUGAACAACAGUGAAACUGUGUCAUCAAUAAAGUUAUGUAGUAUAAAAUCACUGAAUAAUCAAUAAAUAAUAAUCUCAUCAGAUGAAUCUAAUAACAGUGUAACUGCGAGAUAAGUGCAAAUAUGUCACUACAUGGCAGUAAUUAUAUAAGUAUAAGCUUUGAUCUCCUUAUGGAGCCAAAAUUCAGGAACUCUCUCAAAACAGAUGCCAUGCAACAAAACAAUAAAACUAAUCUGGAGAAAAGAUCUCCAAAAAGAGCAAAUGACACCACCUUGCCCUAACUUCUCUCCUUGUUCAUUUAUGACCCCCCUCUCCCCUCUCCCCCUCCCCCUCCCCAACAGACUUCACUGAAAGUUCACCAAGAAUAUCUAUCUAUAUACCACAUAUGAUGUAUCUUGUGAAUCUGUUAUUUUUCAUGUCAUGUUUAGUAUCAUUGUAGGUCUCUGUGCGAUUGGUAAAAUGGUCUCAAUUUCACAGCAGUCUAUUAUAUUAUGAGUAAGAUUGAAAACUUUAGAAUAAUUCUGUUCUGCUGCUGAGGGGUGUCUCCCUCAGGGUCUGGUGAGAAUGUUUUUUCUUCUCCGGCCAGGUGUGACCCUUGGG